rnacentral:rRNA from 1 species
UACGUAGGGGGCAAGCGUUGUCCGGAUUUAUUGGGCGUAAAGCGCUCGCAGGCGGCCUGGCCAAGUCGUGCGUGAAAUCUCCCGGCUCAACUGGGAGCGGUCGUGCGAUACUGGUCGGCUCGAGGCCGGUAGGGGGGAGUGGAAUUCCUGGUGGAGCGGUGAAAUGCGCAGAUAUCGGGAGGAACAUCUGUGGCGAAGGCGACACCCUGGACCAGCACUGACACUGAGGCACGAAAGCGUGGGGAGCAAACAGG